rnacentral:rRNA from 1 species
UUGAACGCUGGCGGCAGGCCUCACCCAUGCAAGUCGAGCGGAUGAAGGGAGCUUGCUCCUGGAUUCAGCGGCGGACGGGUGAGUAAUGCCUAGGAAUCUGCCUGGUAGUGGGGGAUAACGUCCGGAAACGGGCGCUAAUACCGCAUACGUCCUGAGGGAGAAAGUGGGGGAUCUUCGGACCUCACGCUAUCAGAUGAGCCUAGGUCGGAUUAGCUAGUUGGUGGGGUAAAGGCCUACCAAGGCGACGAUCCGUAACUGGUCUGAGAGGAUGAUCAGUCACACUGGAACUGAGACACGGUCCAGACUCCUACGGGAGGCGGCAGUGGGGAAUAUUGGACAAUGGGCGAAAGCCUGAUCCAGCCAUGCCGCGUGUGUGAAGAAGGUCUUCGGAUUGUAAAGCACUUUAAGUUGGGAGGAAGGGCAGUAAGUUAAUACCUUGCUGUUUUGACGUUACCAACAGAAUAAGCACCGGCUAACUUCGUG